GAUGAACGCUGGCGGCGUGCCUAAUACAUGCAAGUCGAGCGAACGGACGAGAAGCUUGCUUCUCUGAUGUUAGCGGCGGACGGGUGAGUAACACGUGGAUAACCUACCUAUAAGACUGGGAUAACUUCGGGAAACCGGAGCUAAUACCGGAUAAUAUUUUGAACCGCAUGGUUCAAAAGUGAAAGACGGUCUUGCUGUCACUUAUAGAUGGAUCCGCGCUGCAUUAGCUAGUUGGUAAGGUAACGGCUUACCAAGGCAACGAUGCAUAGCCGACCUGAGAGGGUGAUCGGCCACACUGGAACUGAGACACGGUCCAGACUCCUACGGGAGGCAGCAGUAGGGAAUCUUCCGCAAUGGGCGAAAGCCUGACGGAGCAACGCCGCGUGAGUGAUGAAGGUCUUCGGAUCGUAAAACUCUGUUAUUAGGGAAGAACAUAUGUGUAAGUAACUGUGCACAUCUUGACGGUACCUAAUCAGAAAGCCACGGCUAACUACGUGCCAGCAGCCGCGGUAAUACGUAGGUGGCAAGCGUUAUCCGGAAUUAUUGGGCGUAAAGCGCGCGUAGGCGGUUUUUUAAGUCUGAUGUGAAAGCCCACGGCUCAACCGUGGAGGGUCAUUGGAAACUGGAAAACUUGAGUGCAGAAGAGGAAAGUGGAAUUCCAUGUGUAGCGGUGAAAUGCGCAGAGAUAUGGAGGAACACCAGUGGCGAAGGCGACUUUCUGGUCUGUAACUGACGCUGAUGUGCGAAAGCGUGGGGAUCAAACAGGAUUAGAUACCCUGGUAGUCCACGCCGUAAACGAUGAGUGCUAAGUGUUAGGGGGUUUCCGCCCCUUAGUGCUGCAGCUAACGCAUUAAGCACUCCGCCUGGGGAGUACGACCGCAAGGUUGAAACUCAAAGGAAUUGACGGGGACCCGCACAAGCGGUGGAGCAUGUGGUUUAAUUCGAAGCAACGCGAAGAACCUUACCAAAUCUUGACAUCCUUUGACAACUCUAGAGAUAGAGCCUUCCCCUUCGGGGGACAAAGUGACAGGUGGUGCAUGGUUGUCGUCAGCUCGUGCCGUGAGAUGUUGGGUUAAGUCCCGCAACGAGCGCAACCCUUAAGCUUAGUUGCCAUCAUUAAGUUGGGCACUCUAAGUUGACUGCCGGUGACAAACCGGAGGAAGGUGGGGAUGACGUCAAAUCAUCAUGCCCCUUAUGAUUUGGGCUACACACGUGCUACAAUGGACAAUACAAGGGGCAGCGAAACCGCGAGGUCAAGCAAAUCCCAUAAAGUUGUUCUCAGUUCGGAUUGUAGUCUGCAACUCGACUACAUGAAGCUGGAAUCGCUAGUAAUCGUAGAUCAGCAUGCUACGGUGAAUACGUUCCCGGGUCU
rnacentral:rRNA from 1 species